rnacentral:rRNA from 1 species
UACGUAGGGUGCAAGCGUUGUCCGGAAUUAUUGGGCGUAAAGAGUUCGUAGGCGGCCUGUCGCGUCCGUUGUGAAAGCCUGGGGCUCAACCCCAGGUCUGCAGUGGAUACGGGCAGGCGUAGAGUCAGGUAGGGGGAGGAACGGAAUUCCUGGUGUAGCGGUGAAAUGCGCAGAUAUCAGGAGGAACACCGGUGGCGAAGGCGGUUCUCUGGGCCUGUACUGACGCUGAGGAACGAAAGCGUGGGGGAGCGAACAGGA